rnacentral:rRNA from 1 species
AUUGAACGCUGGCGGCAUGCCUUACACAUGCAAGUCGAACGGUAACGGGCCUUCGGGUGCCGACGAGUGGCGAACGGGUGCGUAAUACAUCGGAACGUGCCCGAUCGUGGGGGAUAACGAGGCGAAAGCUUUGCUAAUACCGCAUACGAUCUACGGAUGAAAGCAGGGGACCGCAAGGCCUUGCGCGGACGGAGCGGCCGCUGGCAGAUUAGGUAGUUGGUGGGAUAAAAGCUUACCAAGCCGACGAUCUGUAGCUGAACUGAGAGGAUGAUCCGCCACACGGGAACUGAGACACGGCCCAGACUCCUACGGGAGGCAGCAGUGGGGAAUUUUGGACAAUGGGCGCAAGCCUGAUCCAGCAAUGCCGCGUGAAGGAUGAAGGCCUUCGGGUUGUAAACUGCUUUUGUACGGAACGAAAAGCCUUCUUUGAAUACAGGAGGGUCAUGACGGUACCGUAAGAAUAAGCACCGGCUAACUACGUG